AACCAUAGAAACCUGCGGAGUACCUGCGGAGGGAUCAUUAUAGUAUAUGGAAUCUCCAUUCUAUAAACCCACUCUGCGUAUCUUGUAACUGUUGCUUCCAUGGGACUUGGUUCCGCCACACCGGCUUCACGGCUGGUGAGCGCCCAUGGAAGGAGGAACAAAACUCUUCUUUGAAAUGUAGUCAGUCUGAACAAGUUUUUAUAAACGUUAAAACUUUCAGCAAUGGAUCUCAGAUCGGAA
rnacentral:misc_RNA from 1 species